GUGAGGCGAAAACGCCAGACGCGCCGAUAACGUUUCGCCGUAAGCACGGGCCGUGGAACCGCGAGCGUUCCGAGUUACGUAAAGCCGUCGCGGUUUUUUGUGAGCGGUGUUUUUGAAUGCAACCAAGUGUAUUAGUGAACUAGUUAAAGAUUAUUUUGUGUGCGCUUUUAACGGAAUAUGUGAAGUGACAGUGACUGUGUCGAGUGAUGAAUAGUGAACAGUGAACAAAAUGGACAGAAACACGGCCGAAUCUAGCAAGGGCCAGUUGUGCGGGCAAGUGCGUCGGUUCCAAGACAAAUCGCCCGAUUUAUCGUCCGAUUUGUCGUUCGAGGAGUUGAGGAAUAAGUUCGAUACUAGAGCGCCACGCGCGGCGAGGAACGAAAUUGCUUCGAACCCCGCUACGCAUGGCAGCGCUACUAGGCAAGUCGUCAGUGGGAAAGUGUUCAAGAAGUGCAAGAGCGCUACGUUUCAGAUAGAUGGCGCCACUUAUACUAUUGGUAAGUUUGACCAGUUAGUUCGGUUUUCCACCGCAGCGUGGUGGCGGCGCUAGUUGUAUGUUUAUCGAAGUUUCGAUAUGUGAAUGUUUUACAACGGGGUGAAUUUAGUGUGAUGUUAAAAUAACAUAUUUGAAAUAUUUUUUGAAAUUGAAAUAUACUGUUUUUUAAUAUUUAUUUUAACAAAAAAUCGAAGUUUCUUAAGCAAAAUAACAGUUUAUUUUACAGUUAAUUCAAAUAUAACUUAAUUAGGUACCUUCCUGAACAGUUACAGUAAUUAAUAGCUCAACGUUCAUGACACGUAUUAAUUGAAUUACCAUUGAAUUGCCCACAUAAAAGACAACUACACUUUAUAUGAAACAAGUCUUUUUACGAUUAUAACUUGUCAGAUGAUAGGUACUAAUUACAAGUAAUCAUAAUCAAUAUUCUUUAAUAGUUAAACUAAUUAUAGCCAGGAUAGUUAAUAUUUAUUACAACUGCUCAUAAAUUAUGAAUAUUCUGUCAUAAAAUAAUACUUGCACGUGGUAAACAUAGUUAAUACUUUGUUUGUGACUAUUAAAAAGAUAAUUGAAAAAUAUAGUCAAAGGAUUUUAUUUCCUAAAUUUCUAUUAUCGGUUCUUACUAAACGUAAAUAGCUUGGUGUAAGAUUAAAAGGCGUGGAUCCUAUGGACAUAGACCGGCAAAACUCAAUAGACACUCUUUUCAAAACGAAAUGUUAUAACUUAAUGACUAGUCUAUAGGUUGACUCCUUAAAAAAUUAUACAAUAGAAGUUUGUUUGAAAUAAUUUUAGGUUUGCAGUUAAAUAUCAGUUUUUAAUUUUUUUUAAGAAAUAUGAAAAAAACUAAUUCAGUGUGUGUUUCGAUAAAACCUAAUUUGUGUUGCGUGUCAACUAACUCAAUGAAACUUCGAAACAUGACAUCAAAUAUUCAAUGGAAUUGAUUUAUAAUGAUAAGCAUUUUAUUUUCUAUUUAUUUAUGAAAAUAUUUAUCAUAAAUACAUACAUGGUGAAUUAAAAUUGUUGAUAGUAAAAGAGAGAGGGACAUUCAAGUGCCAUUCUAUUUAAAGUUCUAAUACUUAGAUCAAUCUAAUCAAGUCUUAUCAAAAAUGCUUUAGCAUUAGAUUUAGGCAUGCCAUAUUGGAUAGCAAAACAAAUCCAUAUCUAAAUAUAGAACAACAAAAGACUUCAAAAAAUCUCAACCAAUAUUUUCAUUCCCUCGCAUAAAAAUAAAACUUUUUCCAACCAACGGAACACAACACCAUACACCGAAAUUAAAACAACAACAAAAACAAUAAAAAUAAAAGAAAAAAAAACAUACAAAAU
rnacentral:lncRNA from 1 species